rnacentral:rRNA from 1 species
GACGAACGCUGGCGGCGUGCUUAACACAUGCAAGUCGAACGGAAAGGCCCUGCUUGCAGGGUACUCGAGUGGCGAACGGGUGAGUAACACGUGGGUGAUCUGCCCUGCACUUCGGGAUAAGCUUGGGAAACUGGGUCUAAUACCGGAUAGGAGCCAUCUUUAGUGUGGUGGUUGGAAAGUUUUUUCGGUGUAGGAUGAGCUCGCGGCCUAUCAGCUUGUUGGUGGGGUAAUGGCCUACCAAGGCGGCGACGGGUAGCCGGCCUGAGAGGGUGUACGGCCACAUUGGGACUGUGAUACGGCCCAGACUCCUACGGGAGGCAGCAGUGGGGAAUAUUGCACAAUGGGCGCAAGCCUGAUGCAGCGACGCCGCGUGGGGGAUGAAGGCCUUCGGGUUGUAAACUCCUUUCGCUAGGGACGAAGCUUUUUUGUGACGGUACCUAGAUAAGAAGCACCGGCUAACUACGUG